AGGACGAACGCUGGCGGCGUGCUUAACACAUGCAAGUGGAGCGACGAAGCGGGCUUCGGCCCGUGGCAGAGCCGCGAACGGGUGAGUAACACGUGGGUAACCUGCCCCGAUGACUGGGACAACCCGGGGGAAACCCGGGCUAAUACCGGAUGUUCUCCCGCCACAUCAGUGGCAGGAGGAAAGGUAGCUUCGGCUUCCGCGUCGGGAUGGGCCCGCGGCCCAUUAGCUUGUUGGUGGGGUAAUGGCCUACCAAGGCUUCGAUGGGUAGCUGGUCUGAGAGGACGAUCAGCCACACUGGGACUGAGACACGGCCCAGACUCCUACGGGAGGCAGCAGUGGGAAUCUUGCGCAAUGACACGAAAGUGUGACGCAGCAACGCCGCGUAGGGGAAGAACGGCCGUUACGGGUUACGUUAAACCCCUUUGAGGGAGGACGAAGCCGUGGCUGGUGAAGUAGCCAGUCCGAGGUCGACGUACC
rnacentral:rRNA from 1 species